rnacentral:lncRNA from 1 species
CCCAAUGUACGAAGGGACGACAGCUGCUGAAUGCCAUUAAAUAUCAAUUGGAAUGCCUCAAAAUCCACCAUAUCUGAGAAAGGACCAAUUUCCAAAUGACGUAACCCAGUGAGACGGUGAAGGCCGCUUGUGGGUACACAAAUCAACUUGGGACAGUGUGAUAGACCCAAAUAUGAAAGUGAAUGCAUUUCCCCCACAUGUAAAGGGAAGGAAACCAAGUCGUUACAUUUGUAGACACUCAAGGAUUCCAGAGACCGACAAUGCUCUAGCAUUCCACUUGGUAAAUUGGUCAAUCCAUCACAAUUCUGUAACUCAAGACUUUGGAGGGAAGUCAAAUAAUUCUCUCCACUAAGAACAGGAAAGGAACUGAAAUUGGGGCAGCUUCUAAUCCAUAAUCUCUUAAGAGAAUGGAGAUUGUACAAGCUCUUUGGCAAUUCAUGAAACUCUCCGCAUUUUUCAACCGAUAGGUGUUGAAGAGAAACGUUGUUGCGUAGCAUCUCAUCUGGAAAACAAGUGAGCUUUUUCACACCAUAGACACUAAGCUUUACGAGAGAUGUCAAGUUGCUGCACAAGUUCAACAAUGGCAUUUCACUGUCAACUUCGACAAUCACUAAUUCACUUAGGAUUUCAAAUUGAAUCGGAGUACUUUUUAACAAUUGACAGUUCGCAAUCCUCAACUUCUCAAGCUUAGGAAACAUUCUUACCCCACUUGUUGUUGGUAUCAAUUCCACUCCCUUCCACUCAAUAAGGCUACACAUAUCCUCCAAUAUAAGUUCUUUCAAUGACGGGAACACUUGGAUUUUGCUGCAUGAUCCAUUAUCAUUAACCUCAACACCAUAAAAUGUAGGCCCGAUGAAUUCCAAUUCAGGGAAUCCUAUCAGCUCAAGAUGCCGAAGGAACUUCAGUUGGCCAAGCGAUGGAAUUUCUUUGCACCUAUUGCAUUCACUUAAUUUUAACUUGACCAAAUUUGGUAGGGACUCUUCACUGAACCAUGAAGGAAAUCUAGUACCCAAAUAGUCCUUCACCAGUAAGAAUUUCAAGUUAGGAUGCGGUUGAAGACCAUCCAACACAUGCUCAUCAAUGGUUUCACAACCUUCUGGUUCAUCACGUAACCACCCAUAUGACAGCUUGUAAAUAUUCGAUUUCUCUUGUAAAUAUGCUGUUCGAGCUUCUUCUCUACUACGGACCAAAUGGAGAUCAUUGAUCCUCAAUUUACCUCUAAGCUUCUUCAAACAACCUAAUUCUUCUAUUCGGCGACCUUUCUCCAAACCCACAUUAAAAUAUCGUAGGGUCUGAAGACAAGUCAAUUGUCCCAUGUUAAGCGGCAUCUGAUACCAAGAAUGGCAAUAUAUGUGUCUCAAACUUAUCAUAUUCCCCAUCUCAAAUGGAAGUUCAUGGAGUAAAUAGCAACCAUUGACUCUAAAUGUUUGCAAAUUAUAGAGCUCGCAAAUGGAGUUGGGCAAGGCUCUGAUCUCAGUGUUCGAGAGAUCAAGAUAUCUCAAGUGUAUACACUUCCCAAUUUUGGCUGACAACUCUUUGAUUCCUGAACUGGACAAAUUUAAAACUCUCAAGAACUUGAAGCUCAACAACAUAUCUUCCGAUAUAUAAAUGCUUCUCCAAAACAGAGUGCACAAACGUCCUGGCUCAGUUAUCUUAUCUAUUUGAUCACUUGGUGAGUCCCAUCCAAAGUAUCGCACUUGAGAAAGAUUUUCUCCACCAUUGUCCUUUGGAUCAAAUAGUUUAUAUUUUAAGAUAUCCCCAGCCAAAUCAUGCACAAGAUCGUGCAUCUUACAGUGUGUUAUAUUGUUGUGCUUAUCUAACUUAACAUCUUGCAGCAAGGAAUUUCGCAACAAGAGUUGAAAGAACUUAUUCCCGAUGUCUUCCAUUACGGUGGUCUCUUGACAUGGAUGAAGAAGCCUUCUGCCAUCCAGAGUUGGAUUAUUUGGUCCUUUUCAAACUCGAAAUCUUUUGGAAACAUUGCAAAGUAAGCAAAGCAUUUUUUCAGAUGUGGAGAUGGUAGAUAAUCAUAGCUGAGUUUUAGUAUUUUCCUUAUGCUAUUUUCUCCGUUAUCAUCUUCACCUGCAACAAGGGGGUUUCCAUCAAGAAUUGCCUGCCAUUCAUGUUUUUCCUUGUUGCGUAAGAGGCCUCCCAACACACUUGCAGCCAACGGUAGACCUUGACACAUUUCCACAAUCCUGUUCUCCAUGCACACUAUUUCCUCUGGAAUUUCCCCAUCAACAAACGCUCUUUGUUUGAAAAUGGACCAACAAUGAGCUUCUGCUAAUUUUUCCAACCUAUGAGGACCUACUGCUGCUACUGUGGAUGCCACCUGUUCCAUACGAGUAGUCACAAGAAUGAAGUUUCCUCGGGAUGUAUUUAUUCCUCGCAAGGUGUCGACAAACUCUACCCACAAUGUAGAGUCAACACGCCAUAAAUCAUCCAGAACAAGUAAAUACUUUCUUCCUGCCAGUUCAUCUUGUAGCGUCUUGACUAUUAUGUCUCUGCUUUGGACCUCAACUUUCCUCUUUGUCAGGGAUUCGAGGAUUAGUUGAAGAAAGCUCUUCGUUUCUGACAUUUCAGGCAGGCACAACCAAACUCUCUUUUCAAAGUGUUUCUCGAUCUGUUCAUCGUUGAAAAUUCUCUUAGCCAUAGUUGUUUUCCCUAAACCCCCCAUACCAGCUAUGGGAAUGGUGCACAGAACAACAUCCUCUCUGAUGUUCAACAUCUUCCUCUUUAUUCUGCAACAUCGUUGUCUCUACCAACAACCUCCGAAGCAACUACUACAGAAUCUGUUUCUCGAAUUGGUAGUAUAUGCCGAGGAGGAACCAUGAGUGAUUGGAGACCGAGGUGUUUGGCUAACUUAUUGAUAGCCCUCAACUCUUCAUUGAUGUUGUUGAUUUUUCGUGACAUUUUGCUCUUAAAAGUUGUAUGAGAAAUGAAAUCACUGACCUUUUUCAUUGGGUUCUUUUGGAUCUUCACUUGUCUUUUGAUAGAUUCAUAUCUGAAUUCGUCAAACACAUUUUCAGCAUUUUCAGCAGCUCUCUCAAGCAUCUUGAGCCAUAGUUUCACAGCCUGAUCGUCAACUUGUCGUCUUUCAGCAUCAUGAAUGAAAGCUUGGAUCAAGGAUGCAUUUUGUGUAAGCAUUUCCAGAUCUUUCUUGCAGUCCCUUGAGCUACUGAGUUCCUCAAUAGUAAGAAAAAGCAGUUUUUCAAGCAAAACUUGAACAGUAGCACCAAUUACAGGAUCGGCCAUUGUUGUGUUUUGCUCAAAACUUGAAUUGUAGCACCAAACUUCUUGCACAAAGUCUUGUUCCUCUUCACCAAAGUCUUAUAAAAGUUUUUGCACAAGUCUUGUUUGUGGACCACUAAAAGGAAGACAAUAAUUCAUAGUACACAAUAAAAGUGAAAUGACGAAAAGACCCUCCUACUUUAUAUUGAUUUGUAAACCCAAUCCUCUUAUUUUAUCAGGCAUCACCUAGGCACUCCACUUAUAGUGGUUCAAACACACUACUUUAAAAGUUUAAACCAUUCCGACUCCUCUUGUUCAAAUAGAAGGAAAAGGUUAGAUUUGAGAUUUCUUCUACUAUUGCCCUGUCGUGCACGUGCUUGUCUUUCCCAACACUUUCUUCUUCCAUCAUGGCUCCUACAUUUCCUCUACUCACAGUUCUAUCCCAGAAACUGAUCUGGAGUCAGCAUAUUUACAGCUGUAUUCUAAGUAGUCUGGUUGACAAAUCAAAAUAAGUACAAGGAUCUCCAAUCCAUUUUUUCUUUUAUAAAUAAGCAAUUCGUGUUUGGACUGUGUAAACCAUGUGUAGAUUUCCCUAAUAACGAAACAAAAAUAGAGUGUAAAAAUGUCUCCAAAUUUACUACCUAAAGAUGUUAGUUACUUAACGAAAAAAGAGAUGAUCAAGCAAAUCUUUAAGAUGGUUCUAAUAAGAGGGUUGAAAUUAUUAUCAACUUCUGAACAUCUUUACCUAUGUUUGUGGUUUUAACUAUAAAAGGAAGUUCCAAUGAUCUGGAGGUAACGAAAAACUACAGCCACAUUAGUGGCAUUAUCUUUCUGUAUCAGCACAUUCUUUUCUUUCUUUGCAGUAAAUUGAGUUCACUCUUGAUCACACACCACUUUAGACUCUCUAAAGAGUUCCAUUUUCUCUCAGGCACAUCAAUAGUGUGGAAUGCACACCAACAGGUCAAAACCAAGAGUCCAUAGAAAUGAAUCAACAACAGUGGCUUGAAGCAGAUUUAUUGGAUAUUACUCCUUUCGACCUAUGCCUUUGCUGCUGCAAUUUAAGGCCUUAAACUCGGAAUGAACCAUGUUUUUGUUUUCCACUAGUAUUAUUAUGCAAUGUGGAUCCCUCAUGUCUGUGUAACUUUUUCUUUUUGGUUGAUACUUGGUAUCUGCUUUGUUUUGUGCUAAUUUGGCCAUAGAAUAAUUGAAGCAAUUGAGUAUGAUCGACAGUAGCUAAUUUCUUUCAUUAACAAAAUCUUCAAUUGAAUUGAGUCAUAUUUAGAGUGCAGAAAGCUCAAUUUUGUGUUGAAAUACACACAAAUUAUAGCAAUAGUCUGUCUAAAUCAUAAUAACACUAGUAAAUUACUAUUCAUUAGCAAGAACUUAAAACACUCUUCUUUACGGGACACCCUAAUCCAUAAUUAUUUAUCUACUAAUUAAAAAUACUAUAUAGUUUUUUUUUUCUUUCUGAAACUGCAUCUCUCCUUCUUGUUGCAUCUUUAUCAUCUUCAUCAAUUAUAUCUUCCUAUUGUUCAUGUUUUUAACUACUUGGAGUUCAAAUACAAUCUGUGUGAAAAAACAGAUACUAAAAAUUAUAAAAUCGUAUACAUAAAAUAGUGUUAUUAAAAAAACUUACCAGUAGUGUAAAGAAGGUGAGCAUGUAGUUUUAGAGAUGAGGUGUGAGAAGAAAAAGGAGUGUGAGGCUCCCACUUUAUGUGUUAACUUAGGUACAUGUGGUGUAUUUGUGUUGGUUAUUUAAAGUUAUUUAGAUGUGUCGGUAGAAGGAAUUUAAUGAUGGUCCAACAUUGGAGUAGCUUUCGUCUAUCUUUACUUAUACACUAUACUAUUCUGGAAUGUCCAACAAUACUUAUCCAUUUUAUAAAACCAAUGAAUAAGAUGGAUUGAAAUGGUGCAAUUUCCAUAGAUAAAUUUCAAGACGAAAAGCAGAGCUACAUUAAAGAAGCUAUCAACUAGGCAAGGAUGCAGCAGAUAAGUAUUAAGUUCAAAAUGUUUGCUGGAAACAAAAGAACUCUAUUAGUACGAAAAAGGCAUGUACUCUGUCCGCAAGAAAUUAAAGGCCUCUGCUAUCAAAUCUUAGUCAUACAAGUACAUAAUAUCUCCACUCCAGUUUCCGCCAAAUGCAAUUUUACUUGCCAAUCAAGACACUUGAACACAUCUAAGAGAAGUCUGCUCCAGCCUACCAUCUCAACAAGGUCCAUGCAUGUCGUUGUUUCAACCAAUAAUCUUAAGCAUAAGAAAUGGUAAAAAGUCAGUUUUGGCACACAUUUUGUCUGAUCCUUGCGAAAUGGAGAAGCAACUCGUUACAAUUGAUCUGUAGCACCAUUUGUAAUCUCUUAUGAACAAAAACUGACUUACCUUGAAUUUUCUUGCUUUGUGCAAGAAGAGUCUCCAACGCGGCACCAAUGUCCACAAACUUCCAAUCUGUUCCCUGAAAGUUAAAAUCAUGUUGAAAACUGAACAUAAUUUGGAGAAGCAUCUACUAUCAAUGGAAUCCAAAAUAAAAUCUGUCUUGCAUCUAAGAAUCAUGUGUACACCAAUCAUGACAACCCAAUGUUAUGCCAAUCAAAUACUUCACUUUCCUCAAAGAGAAAGAACAAUUUCCUUUACCAGAAUCAUAUUAUAUAAUGAAGUGUAUAAUAAUAUUUGAGGAUUUAGAGAAGGACUAUAUUGCUGAAAGAUAAUACCUGUUAAAAGUUUCAGUAUUUUAACGAGAAAAAGGAGCUGAAAAGUAAAAUUGAUGAAAUUGUUCUUGGGCAUGCCUUAUACUUCCUCAUAGCUUUUAAGUCUUGGCUGGCAUAGAAAUAAGGUGUAGUUAGUAAUGGACAUAUAUUUUGUCUUUGUAUUACAAUAACCUUCUAGCUUCAACUUAAUGUUGAGAGAUUAUAUAGUCUUUACCAAAUGCUCAUGAAACAGUCUACGGCUGAAGAUUCUAUUCUUCAACAAAACAAAUGUGGUGGUUCCUUUGUCGUACAUAACCAUUCAUGUUAAACAGUAAAAUUGUGUCAUGGGAAAAAAAGGAGUGCAAAGAAAAAAUUGUUACAACAUUCUAACUGCAAUUUUACCUAAUGUAAUUGCCGUGGAUGGAUUUUGACUUGAAAUGCCACAGCAACGUUCUAGCAUGACCUUUAAACUAAUAACCAAUGAGAAAAAGCACACAUAAAUAUUCAUGAUUAAUCCAUAUCAUAAAGGUAAAAAUAGAUAUUCAUAAAUUUGUUUCAAGUGGAACAAAAAAAUGUUUGGAAAACUAUAAUGGAGAAUGGAGGAGAAUAACUCGUGGAAAAUAAUAAUUAAAAAUGCAACUCAGAAACAAAAAGAGAAACAGAAACUUACGCAAGUCCUGAAUUAUGCUUCCACCUACUUCAAUUUUUAGAAUAUGGGAAAUGUUGGACCAUUGGGAGUUUGAGCCACUCCAAUUUGUGCAACUUUCUUCUAACUUUGGGCAGCCUUUAAUUUCCAAGUUCCAUAAUUUGGUGAGGCGUCGCAUGGCAUCUCUAGAUGGCAGAUGCUCUAGUUUCUCGCAUUUCUGUAAAAAUAACUCUUGCAAAGAAACAAGGUUACCGAGCCCAUCCGAUAUAGCUUCUAACAAUGGACAAUCAUUUAUGCACAGAUAACGUAAUUUGGGCAUGGCAUCUGAGAAGUCCAGAUGUUGUAGCCGUUUGCACCCCAUUAGCAUUAAUCUUUCAAGAGAAGUAAGGUUGCCAAAUCUAUGAGGAAGAGCCUUGAUUCCAAAUCCAUAUAUUUUGAUCUCUAUAAGGUCAGAGAGUUGCAUAAGCUGAUAGGGCAGAGAAUCCCAGUGCAAGUGUCCCCACACCUCCAAUGUAUGAAGAGACUGAAUGCCAUCAAAUAUCAAUUGGAAUGCCUCAAAAUCCACCAUUUCUGAGAAAGGACCUAUUUCCAAAUGCUGUAACCCAGUGAGACGAAGGCCACCAGCGGGUACACUAAUCAAUUUGGGACAUUUUGAUAUAUUCAAAUAUGAAAGUGAAGGUUUUUCCCCGACAUGUAAAGGGAAGGAAACUAAGUUGUUACAGUUGAAGACCUUCAAA